UUUAUAUUUACGAGAGGGGGAGGGAGAACUAGAACUAUGAUCUUUUCUUUGCUCAAAUUUAAAGGUUCACUUGUCAUUAGACCUGUGAGUGAAUAGUCUCACUUAUUUUUAGACUGAAGUAAAAAAUUAAAUGGGAAAACAAUAUUCUAACCCAAUUUUUUUUCUUUCUAACCCAACUGAACUGAAAUACAAUAAGAUCCUAUUAAGUAUGAACAAUUUACCAAGGAAAUCUAGUCUGAUUUUUUGGAGGAAAAUUGCAGCUCACCAGAGGCAGAUAUGCUGGGCAAUGUCCCACAGUCAUAGUGUACAGCAUUAAAGACCUUAGUGAAGACGAGUCCAUACAAAAUGGCAUCUCUUAAAAAUUUCAUCCACCAUUAAGACCCACCUUGCUGCACCCACCCUGAUAGAUAGGACCUAGUGAUCAACAUAGCAGCUCGCCACCUCCUGUCUUUAACAUAUGCAUCCAAGGCUGUAGCCACAUCCUCUGGAACUAGUAAUCCCCCAUUUUUGAUAAAUGAAUUCCCAAUGUGUCUGCCCAAUACAACUGCAUCCUCUA
rnacentral:misc_RNA from 1 species